rnacentral:rRNA from 1 species
UUUUGGACAAUGGGCGCAAGCCUGAUCCAGCAAUGCCGCGUGCAGGAUGAAGGCCUUCGGGUUGUAAACUGCUUUUGUACGGAGCCAAAAGGUUUCCACUAAUACUGGGGGCUCAUGACGGUACCGUAAGAAUAAGCACCGGCUAACUACGUGCCAGCAGCCGCGGUAAUACGUAGGGUGCAAGCGUUAAUCGGAAUUACUGGGCGUAAAGCGUGCGCAGGCGGUUAUGUAAGACAGAUGUGAAAUCCCCGGGCUUAACCUGGGAACUGCAUUUGUGACUGCAUAGCUAGAGUACGGUAGAGGGGGAUGGAAUUCCGCGUGUAGCAGUGAAAUGCGUAGAUAUGCGGAGGAACACCGAUGGCGAAGGCAAUCCCCGGACCUUACGACGCUCAGCACGAAG